rnacentral:rRNA from 1 species
GGCCUAUUGAGUAUAAUUUUAGGUYUGACCUGCCCAAUGAUUUAAGAUUGAAUGGCCGCGGUAAUUUGACCGUGCAAAGGUAGCAUAAUCAUUAGUUUUUUAAUUGAAAGCUUGUAUGAAGGGUUUGAUGAAAAAAUGACUGUCUCUAUUUAAAUUAAUUAGAAUUUUAUUUUUAAGUAAAAAAGCUUAAAUAUUUAUAGAAGACGAGAAGACCCUAUAGAGUUUUAUAUUUAUAGAUAUAAAAAGAGUUUAGUAUUUAUAUUUUUUAUAUUUAUUUUUAUUUGGUUGGGGUGAUAGAAAAAUUAAAUAAACUUUUUUUUUAUGAAAACAUUAAUAUAUGAAAACUUGAUCCUUUAUUUAAGAUUAAAAGAUUAAAUUACCUUAGGGAUAACAGCGUAAUUUUUUUUUAGAGUUCAAAUUAAAAAAAAAGAUUGCGACCUCGAUGUUGGAUUAAAAAGAAUUAUUGGUGUAGAAGCUAAUAAAUUAGGUCUGUUCGACCUUUAAAAUUUUACAUGAUCUGAGUUUAAACCGGUGUGAGCCAGGUCG